rnacentral:rRNA from 2 species
UACGAAGGGGGCGAGCGUUGUUCGGAAUCACUGGGCGUAAAGAGUGCGUAGGCGGUUAUGAAAGUUAGAAGUGAAAGCCCAGGGCUCAACCUUGGAAUUGCUUUUAAAACUACAUAACUCGAAUUCGGGAGAGGAUAGCGGAAUUGUCAGUGUAGCAGUGAAAUGCGUAGAUAUUGACAGGAACACCGGUGGCGUAAGCGGCUAUCUGGACCGACAUUGACGCUGAGGCACGAAAGCGUGGGGAUCAAACAGG